ACAUAGGAGAGCAGACGUCCCCAGCGUGCGGUGUCUGCUCAGAAAGAUUUUUUAAAGGGCCAGAUCUUUUUAAUUCUAAAGAGGAUUAUAAAAAAAAAAAAAGUGACAGAUUCAGAGACAGGGCAAGAAGGAGAAGACAGCCGAGCUACUUACUGUACUCUGUCCCCUCUCCUCGGGGAACAGGAGUGCCGAGCAGCAGCAGGGGACCGGGAGCCAAGGAGAGGAGCUGAGCGAUCCCGGCCCCUGCACCCUUAUCCCCCCAUGCAGUGGCCAGGCCGGGGCCCAGCAAUGUCCAUAGUAGAAGCAGGAGCUGCUGCCCCCUGAAUCCUGUGUCUGUCACUUCUGUAUUGUACAGUGCAAUUCAAGCGCUUAGUCUGCCCCGGCAGAGGGCCCCUUCUCAUGUCUUACCCCCUCAUCACAGGGACCGCAGCACCUUGUUAUGGCCCAGCAUUAACAUCAUUUAUUCUAACAGCACAACACUCACAUAGUGAUCCAAAAAAAAGGGCACCUGAAGGAGGGUCAUCAAAGGGGCAGGGGUUCAAGCCCCCAUUGUAAUCUAUGUGUUCACAUCCCAGGACAUAUGGGAGCAUUUCCAGAGAUAGGGUAUGUUCACACGUACAGGAUCUGCUGUAUAUUUUUGCAGCUAAUUUCGCUAUCCCUUGAAGUUAAUGGGGAGCAAAAUCAGCUGCUCAAAAUAUGCAGCAGAUCCUGUAUGUGUGAAUGUACCCAUAGUCAGCAAAUAGUAAACCCCAAAAUGUAGUAAGAAUAGAACCCUAUCCUCAUCAUAUCCAGCAGGUUUCGCUGAUCUAUUUUUUUCUCAUAAUUCUCUUUUCUUUAUUUCUCUUUUAGGGAGAUGCCCAAACAAAAAAGAACACUUUGAUAAUUGCAGCUGUGUGUGCUUGGAGGACAAGUGCUUUGGCACUUCCGUGUCAUUUACAUGCAUGCUCUAUCAAAUAGAAUUGCUUUUAAUCAUCACUAGAUGCAACAUAUAUGUAAGUAAAUACAAUACUUUAUUUAAACUUCCUUAAGUUUCGUGUUAGUCACAACACUCUUAGCUAACUAGUUCUUUUGUCAUGCACUUUCUCAUGCUAACAUGCAACUUUCCUAUCCUUGGGA